AAAAUAAAUUGGGCGCCCCUUACGGGACGCCCUCAUGGGAGAGGAGAAACCGGACGAAGAGCUUAUGGGGAAACGUAAGUCUUCUCCGCGG
rfam:Paenibacillus dendritiformis C454 PDENDC1000022, whole genome shotgun sequence.